GUGCUUUCGGGGGUACACGAGCGGCGAACGGGUGAGUAACACGUGGGUGACCUGUGGCCCUCCACUCUGGGAUAAGCCCGGGAAACUGGGUCUAAUACCGGAUAGGGUGACCACUGAUCGCAUGGUUGGUGGUGGAAAGUUUUUUCGGUGGGGGAUGGGGUGCCCGCGGCCUAUCAGCUUGUUGGUGGGGUGAUGGCCUACCAAGGCGGUGAGUGCGGGUAGCCGGCCUGAGAGGGCGACCGGCCACACUGGGACUGAGACACGGGUGCCCAGACUCCUACGGGAGGCAGCAGUGGGGAAUAUUGCGCAAUGGGCGGAGUGAGCCUGACGCAGCGACGCCGCGUGGGGGAUGACGGCCUUCGGGUUGUAAAGUGCCUCUUUCGCCAGGGACGAAGAGCAAUUGACGGUACCUGGAGAAGAAGCAGUGCCGGCCAACUACGUGCCAGCAGCCGCGGUAACACGUAGGGUGCGAGCGUUGUGGUCCGGAAUUAUUGGGCGUAAAGAGCUCGUAGGCGGUGUGUCGCGUCGGCGUGCGUGAAAACUUGGGGCUUAACUCUGAGCGUGCGGUCGAUACGGGCAUCACGUGUUGAGUUCGGCAGGGGAGACUGGAAUUCCUGGUGUAGCGGUGAAAUGCGCGUGAGAUAUCAGGAGGAACACCGGUGGCGAAGGCGGGUCUCUGGGCCGAUACUGUGGACGCUGAGGAGCGAAAGCGUGGGGAGCGAACAGGAUUAGAUACCCUGGUGUGAGUCCACGCCGUAAACGUUGGGCGCUAGGUGUG
rnacentral:rRNA from 1 species